rnacentral:tRNA from 3 species
GCCCCUAUAGUUUAACGGAUAAAACAUCAGGUUCCGAACCUGAAGACUGAGGGUUCGAUUCCCCCUGGGGGCA